rnacentral:sRNA from 1 species
AGAUGAUGAACUUGUGCCUUUGUGACUUGGUUUCUUGAGACCUGCCUGAUUUCCAUGGUCACAAGAACACAGAGAAAGAUGUGUGGGCUCCUGGGGCUCUUCCUGACACUGUUGAGAGCAAUUCCAGAGGAGAAGCUAUCUAUGGGGUAAUCUUUGGAUGUUAUUCUGAAAAGCCCCAACUUCUUCCUCAUAACAGCUUCUAAGCUUGAGGACCGAGAGUUAUCCUCUAAAAAGGUGUCCCCAAACAAGGAUCCGACGUCUACCUUCUUCCAGUUUGGAGCGUCCAUCCAGCAGCAAGCCACGGUCAUGCUGAAGAUCAUGCAGGAUUAUGACUGGCAUGUUUUCUCCCUGGUAACCACCAUCUUCCCUGGCUACAGGGAAUUCAUCAGCUUCGUCAAGACCACAGUGGACAACAGCUUUGUGGGCUGGGACAUGAAGAAUGUGAUCACACUGGACACUUCCUUUGAGGAUGCAAAGACACAAGUCCAGUUGAAGAAGAUCCACUCUUCUGUCAUCUUGCUCUACUGUUCCAAAGACGAGGCUGUUCUCAUUCUGAGUGAGGCCCGCUCCCUUGGCCUCACCGGGUAUGAUUUCUUCUGGAUUGUCCCCAGCUUGGUCUCUGGGAACACGGAGCUCAUCCCAAAAGAGUUUCCAUCGGGACUCAUUUCUGUCUCCUACGAUGAUUGGGACUACAGCCUGGAGGCGAGAGUGAGGGACGGCAUUGGCAUCCUAACCACCGCUGCGUCUUCUAUGCUGGAGAAGUUCUCCUACAUCCCCGAGGCCAAGGCCAGCUGCUACGGGCAGAUGGAGAGGCCAGAGGUCCCGAUGCACACCUUGCACCCAUUUAUGGUCAAUGUUACAUGGGAUGGCAAAGACUUAUCCUUCACUGAGGAAGGCUACCAGGUGCACCCCAGGCUGGUGGUGAUUGUGCUGAACAAAGACCGGGAAUGGGAAAAGGUGGGCAAGUGGGAGAACCAGACGCUGAGCCUGAGGCACGCCGUGUGGCCCAGGUACAAGUCCUUCUCCGACUGUGAGCCUGAUGACAACCAUCUCAGCAUCGUCACCCUGGAGGAGGCCCCAUUCGUCAUCGUGGAAGACAUAGACCCCCUGACCGAGACGUGUGUGAGGAACACCGUGCCAUGUCGGAAGUUCGUCAAAAUCAACAAUUCAACCAAUGAGGGGAUGAAUGUGAAGAAAUGCUGCAAGGGGUUCUGCAUUGAUAUUCUGAAGAAGCUUUCCAGAACUGUGAAGUUUACUUACGACCUCUACCUGGUGACCAAUGGGAAGCAUGGCAAGAAAGUUAACAAUGUGUGGAAUGGAAUGAUCGGUGAAGUGGUCUAUCAACGGGCAGUCAUGGCGGUUGGCUCGCUCACCAUCAAUGAGGAACGUUCUGAAGUGGUGGACUUCUCUGUGCCCUUUGUGGAAACGGGAAUCAGUGUCAUGGUUUCAAGAAGUAAUGGCACUGUCUCACCUUCUGCUUUUCUAGAACCAUUCAGCGCCUCUGUCUGGGUGAUGAUGUUUGUGAUGCUGCUCAUUGUUUCUGCCAUAGCUGUUUUUGUCUUUGAAUACUUCAGCCCUGUUGGAUACAAUAGAAACUUAGCCAAAGGGAAAGCACCCCAUGGGCCUUCUUUUACAAUUGGAAAAGCUAUAUGGCUUCUUUGGGGCCUGGUGUUCAAUAACUCCGUGCCUGUCCAGAAUCCUAAAGGGACCACCAGCAAGAUCAUGGUAUCCGUAUGGGCCUUCUUCGCUGUCAUAUUCCUGGCUAGCUACACAGCCAAUCUGGCUGCCUUCAUGAUCCAAGAGGAAUUUGUGGACCAAGUGACUGGCCUCAGUGACAAAAAGUUUCAGAGACCUCAUGACUAUUCCCCACCUUUUCGAUUUGGGACAGUGCCUAAUGGAAGCACAGAGAGAAACAUUCGGAAUAACUAUCCCUACAUGCAUCAGUACAUGACCAAAUUUAAUCAGAAGGGAGUAGAGGACGCCUUGGUCAGCCUGAAAACAGGGAAGCUGGACGCUUUCAUCUACGAUGCCGCAGUCUUGAAUUACAAGGCCGGGAGGGAUGAAGGCUGCAAGCUGGUGACCAUCGGGAGUGGGUACAUCUUUGCCACCACCGGUUACGGAAUUGCCCUUCAGAAAGGCUCUCCUUGGAAGAGGCAGAUUGACCUGGCCUUGCUUCAGUUUGUGGGUGAUGGUGAGAUGGAGGAGCUGGAGACCCUGUGGCUCACCGGGAUCUGCCACAACGAGAAGAACGAGGUGAUGAGCAGCCAGCUGGACAUUGACAACAUGGCGGGCGUGUUCUACAUGCUGGCCGCCGCCAUGGCCCUUAGCCUCAUCACCUUCAUCUGGGAGCACCUCUUCUACUGGAAGCUGCGCUUCUGUUUCACGGGCGUGUGCUCCGACCGGCCUGGGUUGCUCUUCUCCAUCAGCAGGGGCAUCUACAGCUGCAUUCAUGGAGUGCACAUUGAAGAAAAGAAGAAGUCUCCAGACUUCAAUCUGACGGGAUCCCAGAGCAACAUGUUAAAACUCCUCCGGUCAGCCAAAAACAUUUCCAACAUGUCCAACAUGAACUCCUCAAGAAUGGACUCACCCAAAAGAGCUGCUGACUUCAUCCAAAGAGGUUCCCUCAUCAUGGACAUGGUUUCAGAUAAGGGGAAUUUGAUGUACUCAGACAACAGGUCCUUUCAGGGGAAAGAGAGCAUUUUUGGAGACAACAUGAACGAACUCCAAACAUUUGUGGCCAACCGGCAGAAGGAUAACCUCAAUAACUAUGUAUUCCAGGGACAACAUCCUCUUACUCUCAAUGAGUCCAACCCUAACACGGUGGAGGUGGCCGUGAGCACAGAAUCCAAAGUGAACUCUAGACCCCGGCAGCUUUGGAAGAAAUCCAUGGAUUCCAUACGCCAGGAUUCACUAUCCCAGAAUCCAGUCUCCCAGAGGGAUGAGGGAACAGCAGAGAAUAGGACCCACUCCCUAAAGAGCCCUAGGUAUCUUCCAGAAGAGAUGGCCCAUUCUGACAUUUCAGAAACGUCAAAUCGGGCCACGUGCCACAGGGAACCUGACAACAGUAAGAACCACAAAACCAAGGACAACUUUAAAAGGUCAGGGGCCUCCAAAUACCCCAAGGACUGUAGUGAGGUCGAGCGCACCUACCUGAAAACCAAAUCAAGCUCCCCCAGAGACAAGAUCUACACUAUUGAUGGUGAGAAGGAGCCUGGUUUCCACUUAGAUCCACCCCAGUUUGUUGAAAACGUGACCCUGCCCGAGAACGUGGACUUCCCAGACCCCUACCAGGAUCACAGUGAAAACUUCCGCAAGGGGGACUCCACGCUGCCAAUGAACCGGAACCCCUUGCAUAAUGAAGAGGGGCCUUCCAACAACGACCAGUAUAAACUCUACUCCAAGCACUUCACCUUGAAAGACAAGGGUUCCCCGCACAGUGAGACCAGCGAGCGAUACCGGCAGAACUCCACACACUGCAGAAGCUGCCUUUCCAACCUGCCCACCUAUUCAGGCCACUUCACCAUGAGGUCCCCCUUCAAGUGCGAUGCCUGCCUGCGGAUGGGGAACCUCUAUGACAUCGAUGAAGACCAGAUGCUUCAGGAGACAGGUAACCCAGCCACCGGGGAGCAGGUCUACCAGCAGGACUGGGCACAGAACAAUGCCCUUCAAUUACAAAAGAACAAGCUAAGGAUUAGCCGUCAGCAUUCCUACGAUAACAUUGUCGACAAACCUAGGGAGCUAGACCUUAGCAGGCCCUCCCGGAGCAUAAGCCUCAAGGACAGGGAACGGCUUCUGGAGGGAAAUUUUUACGGCAGCCUGUUUAGUGUCCCCUCAAGCAAACUCUCGGGGAAAAAAAGCUCCCUUUUCCCCCAAGGUCUGGAGGACAGCAAGAGGAGCAAGUCUCUCUUGCCAGACCACACCUCCGAUAACCCUUUCCUCCACUCCCACAGGGAUGACCAACGCUUGGUUAUUGGGAGAUGCCCCUCGGACCCUUACAAACACUCGUUGCCAUCCCAGGCGGUGAAUGACAGCUAUCUUCGGUCGUCCUUGAGGUCAACGGCAUCGUACUGUUCCAGGGACAGUCGGGGCCACAAUGAUGUGUAUAUUUCGGAGCAUGUUAUGCCUUAUGCUGCAAAUAAGAAUAAUAUGUACUCUACCCCCAGGGUUUUAAAUUCCUGCAGCAAUAGACGCGUGUACAAGAAAAUGCCUAGUAUCGAAUCUGAUGUUUAAAAAUCUUCCAUUAAUGUUUUAUCUAUAGGGAAAUAUACGUAAUGGCCAACGUUCUGGAGGGUAAAUGUUGGAUGUCCAAUAGUGCCCUGCUAAGAGGAAGAAGAUGUAGGGAGGUAUUUUGUUGUUGUUGUUGGCUCUUUUGCACAUGGCUUCAUGCCAUAAUCUUCCACUCAAGGAAUCUUGUGAGGUGUGUGCUGAGCAUGGCAGACACCAGAUAGGUGAGUCCUUAACCAAAAAUAACUAACUACAUAAGGGCAAGUCUCCGGGACAUGCCUACUGGGUAUGUUGGCAAUAAUGAUGCGUUGGAUGCCAAUGGUGAUGUUAUGAUUUCCUAUAUUCCAAAUUCCAUUAAGGUCAGUCCACCAUGUAAUUUUCUCAUCAGAAAUGCCUAAUGGUUUCUCUAAUACAGAAUAAGCAAUAUGGUAUGCAUGUAAACCUGACACAGACAAAAUAAAAA